GGGACUGUAGGGUAGCUUCAUGUGAAAGUGUUUCACAAGCUUUUAGAUGCUUCACAUGCUAAAAUGGUCAUCCUGUGAGCUUUGGGAGCUUAUGACCCCGGUUCAAAUCCGGGCAGUCCCA
rnacentral:tRNA from 1 species